rnacentral:rRNA from 1 species
UACGUAGGGGGCUAGCGUUGUCCGGAAUCAUUGGGCGUAAAGAGCGUGUAGGCGGCCAGGUAGGUCAGCUGUGAAAACUCGAGGCUCAACCUCGAGACGUCGGUUGAAACCGUUUGGCUAGAGUCCGGAAGAGGAGAGUGGAAUUCCCGGUGUAGCGGUGAAAUGCGCAGAUAUCGGGAAGAACACCCGUGGCGAAGGCGGCUCUCUGGGACGGUACUGACGCUGAGACGCGAAAGCGUGGGGAGCGAACAGG